rnacentral:rRNA from 1 species
AACGAACGCUGGCGGCAGGCCUAACACAUGCAAGUCGAGCGAGGACUUCGGUUCUAGCGGCGGACGGGCGAGUAACGCGUGGGAAUGUGCCCUUCUCUACGGAAUAGCCCUGGGAAACUGGGAGUAAUACCGUAUACGCCCUAUUGGGGAAAGAUUUAUCGGAGAAGGAUCAGCCCGCGUUGGAUUAGGUAGUUGGUGGGGUAAUGGCCUACCAAGCCGACGAUCCAUAGCUGGUUUGAGAGGAUGAUCAGCCACACUGGGACUGAGGCACGGCCCAGACUCCUACGGGAGGCAGCAGUGGGGAAUCUUAGACAAUGGGGGCAACCCUGGUCUAGCCAUGCCGGGUGAGUGAUGAAGGCCUUAGGAUUGUAAAGCUCGUUCAGCUGGGAAGAUAAUGACGGUACCAGCAGAAGAAGCCCCGGCUAACUCCGUG